ACCACCGAUCUAUAUGUAUGUGAUCCAGUAUCUUUUAAAUUCUUCAAUGUUUUCUUUUUGAACUUUGUAGUUGUAGCUUUCAAAUAGUUUCAGGAUGUUUCUUCAGGAAGUUCAUUAUAGGUUGGAAAAUCUAACGAAAGAACAUGAAAUUCCAAGACCUAGAGUUGCGAGAUGCAGAGAUUACGAGAAACGCUAGCAUCCGAAAGGAGCUCUGAAAAUCUUCCUGGCAUAAUCGUGCAGAGAUUGAAAAUCUUCUUGCUAAUAUGGAAGAACUUCAAUCUUCGAAUAAUGAAAAGGAUUGCACAAAAAGCAGGCUUAGAAAGUAAGUUGGAAAAGAUUGAGGUUGAUUCUAGAAAAAUUAAACGAUGAAAUUGGUAGAAUCUUUCAUGAGUUGGAAGUCUCAAGAAAGCAUACUGGCGCAUCGGUGUUAAACCGAUGCACAUCUGGCUAGAAAACCUAUGGAUUAGGAGUGAAGGAAAAAGAAAAGGCAUCUUCUGCACAAGCACCUCGUGGCAAUGGAGAUUCUGGAAAGGAGGACGGGAGCUUAAAACAGAAGAAAGACGUCGAAAGUGAAUCAAAGACCCCUUUCAAAUCUCUCAAAUUAAGGAGCAGUAUGCAUGUGGAACAACGCAAAGCCAAAGCAUCACAGCCUAAUAAUAAUAGGGUCUCCAUAUUGAUGGAAACCAUUUAGAGUGGAAGUAAGGCUGAUAAGAUAUCAAAACCAACAACACCACCAGCAACGCCGCCGCACCCCAAGGUGAGGCAGCGGUGCCUUCUGCGACGUAUACCGGCUCGAGCUUUGUUCUCGGAGUGAUGAUUACAAGACGACCAUAUCUAACAAUCGAGUUUCCAACAAACACAAACACUAGAGAUAGCAAAAUGACCAAGAUUCCAAGAACAGCAAGCAGAGGCCUUGGCGGAGGAGCUAUGGAGGCCAAGGCCUGCUCUGCCCAUCCUUGUUUCCA